rnacentral:rRNA from 1 species
CAUACCUAUUCGAAGGGAUAGGGUCGGUUUGGCCGGAUUUCACACAGGUGUUGCAUGGCUGUCGUCAGCUCGUGUCGUGAGAUGUUGGGUUAAGUCCCGCAACGAGCGCAACCCUCAUCCUUAGUUACCAUCAGGUUAUGCUGGGGACUUUAAGGAAACUGCCAGUGAUAAACUGGAGGAAGGUGGGGAUGAUGUCAAGUCAUCAUGGCCCUUAUGGAGUGGGCUACACACGUGCUACAAUGGCGAUUACAAUGGGCUGCAAGGUCGCAAGGCUGAGCUAAUCCUAAAAAAUCAUCUCAGUUCGGAUUGUUCUCUGCAACUCGAGAGCAUGAAGUUGGAAUCGCUAGUAAUCGUGGAUCAGCAUGCUACGGUGAAUACGUUCUCGGGUCUUGUACACGCUGCCCGUCACGCCAUGGGAAUUGGUUUCACUCGAAGCU